AGAAUCAACGCUGGCGGCGUGCCUAACACAUGCAAGUCGCACGAGAAAAGGGAGCAAUCCCUGAGUACAGUGGCGCACGGGUGAGUAACACGUGAAUAAUCUACCUCCGAGUGGGGAAUAACUGAGAGAAAUCUUAGCUAAUACCGCAUAACACUUACGAGUCAAAGCAGCAAUGCGCUUGGAGAGGAGUUCGCGGCAGAUUAGUUAGUUGGCGGGGUAAUGGCCCACCAAGACGAUGAUCUGUA
rnacentral:rRNA from 1 species